rnacentral:rRNA from 1 species
ACUUCUUAUAGGUAUUUCCUGCCCAGUGACAUAGUUCAACGGCCGCGGUAUCCUAACCGUGCAAAGGUAGCAUAAUCACUUGCCUAUUAAUUGUAGGCUAGAAUGAACGGAUAAACGAAAUAAACCCUGUCUCAAUUAGCAACCUAAAAAUUAUUCUCCAUACGAAGAAAUAUGGAUAAAAUCGAAGGACAAGAAGACCCUAUAGAGCUUUAUUUAAAUCAUAGAUUCCAUCUAAUGUAAAAAUUCGGUUGGGGCGACCUAGGGAGUUAUUAAUCACCCUAUAAUACAAAGAUAAGUUAAUCAUACAACUGACCCUUAUAAGAUCACAAGAUCAAGCUACCUUAGGGAUAACAGGCUAAUCCCAUUUAAGAGUCCAUAUCAACAAUGGGGUUUGGCACCUCGAUGUUGGCUUAGGUAACUGUAUAGUGCAAAAGCUAUAUUAUGUUGGUUUGUUCAACCAAUAAUUUCCUACGUGAUCUGAUCAAAACCGGACUACUUUCUCACGAGGGGGGUAGGGGAGGUAAUGACCCCGCCUUGAAGCCCUAACUACACUUACACUCCAGAUCAUGGUCCACUGGGGGGUGGCCAGUGUUUCACUCCUCACCUCCCCCACUAGUCCUUUCACAUAGGGGAACAAUAUCACCGGGCCACCAUGUCCUUGAAGAAUAAUAGCCUUUUUUAUUCAUUCUUGGAUUUUAGAGCCAGUGAACGCGCAGGGACGCGGGGCAAGGGGACUGGCCCAGUAGCCCCUUGGUCUCCUCCUGGGGCCUCUAAGCUCCACUCACGAGGAGCUUCGCGUGCAGGAUGCAGAUUAAAUUCGAAAUUUUCCCCCCCCGUUUGGCACCUUACAAAGGACGACCGCGUGAUGUCUUCCUUGCCGGAUGGGUUUUGCGGGAAACUGCCUGGGGGUAACAUGAAUGAAAACACUUUACUUCUUUCGGAGGUAUCUUUGCUUCGCGCGUGGGAUACUGACAUGGCAGACGGGAUUCAUCGAAUCACCUUCUUUGCCCGGCCGUCGUACUAUUGCGA